rnacentral:tRNA from 1 species
UCCUGGCUGGCUCAGUUGGUGGAGCAUGUGACUCUUGAUCUCGAGGAUGUGAGUUCAAGCCCCAUGUUGGGUG